GACACAGUAGAAGGUGAGGAAGUAGCUCUUUAGAAAGAUGAUCUUUUCUGAGGACUGGACAUCAUUGCAGGUGAUUAUGGUCAUUUCAACAAGCCUGUCAAAGACCCCACCCCCUACCCUCACAUCAUUCAAGAGCAGUUUGCACUUGGAGGCACAUUCUUAUGGGCUCAUUUCACCCUUCUCAUCACAGCAAGGGCCAGAUCCACAGGAAGAUGAGUCAGAAUAAUAACAGCUGUUAUGCUUAAUUAAGACUGUUUUUUUUUUUUUUUUGGACAUGUUGAUAUAUUAAAUCCAUAUCUACAUAAAUAUAAACAAUAAACUAUGCAGGUUGUAUAUUUGGCAUUUAGCCUGUGCAGGGCAAAUCUAUUUUAUUUGUCUGCAACUUUCCCAACUAGUAAACACAAUACAGAUAAAAGGAAACUGAAGCUGCUCUUGUGUUUUUAUGCUUAUUUACACUUGUAUUUCUUUUUUCUGUCUCAGUAAUGAUUAAAAUGGUUGAAAACUGUUAUUUUGACAUGCUGUUCUGCCUGAUUGUCAUUUUUCAGCUGCAUGCAACCAUGAACUGGUACAUCUGACAAAUAAACACUAUCUUAUCUUA